ensembl:lncRNA
CAGCGCACUGUGCCCACGCCUUGAAGGCCCCGAGAAGCCUGUCUGUUCUUGCCAUCGGCAAAGACCGCACAGAGAGGAAGCUGGAGCUGUGGGCGAACAAUAAACAGCAUCUUGAGAAGCAGUGUAGCCAGGCGUGGUGGCGAACGCCUGUGAUCCCGGCACUCGGGAGGCUGAGGCAGGAGGAUCACUAUGAGUUCAAGAACAGCCUGGAUUACAUAGUGAGUUCAAGGCCAGCCUGGAUCACAUGUUCAGUGCUGACCGGAAGCUCAAGGAAGCAUGAGGCAGACGAAGAAGAAGAUGGAGGUGGUGACAACAGCAGGAGCAAUGGUGUGGUUCUCUUUCACAUGGUCAAAGACAGAAUGUCAGUUGUGACAGUUGAACUGGAUUGCCAACUUGAUUGGAUUGAGAGCUGCCCAUGGGAUCAGUAAAGCCCACUUCUGGAUGUGUGCAGUGGGUCAUGGAGGGAAUUGAACCCUGGGCCUUCCCCUGGAGACAAAUUCCACAGCUCUUUUCAUUUUUUAUUUUGAAACAGGAUCUUGUUAAACUGAGUUCCCCAGUUUGGGCUGGAACUUGAGACCCUUCUGCCUCAGCCUCCGGAGAUUUUAGGCAUGUAC